AUGACCCUCUUUAGCCCGAGAUACAUGAGCAUGAGUGGAGAGUUGAAGUCCAGCCGCUCCAGGGCAGCGAGUAAGAGGGCCAGCAACACCAUUUAUGGAUCCGAGUUCGACCUGGACUGUGACAGCUACCACGAGGACUACAAUGACAGGGCGUAUGACUACCAACGUGUGCCGGCCUCGCUGUCGCCUCUGCCCGUCGGACCCGGUCUGGCCAAGCGAUCCCGUUCCUCCUCCUACUCCUCUGGGAACAAACGCAGUCGAGACAGAACCCACUCCAAAAGCUCCAGAGCCCACUCCACAAAUUCAUCCACAGCCAAGUUGGGCAUGGAGGAGUUGCAGGUGAUUAAAAAGGAGCUGACUCUGAUAAAGACACAGAUCGAUGGGCUGCUCGACAAUCUUGACAAAAUGGACACAGAGAGGAAUGACAGCAAAGGAUCUCCCCUGAGAGAGGAGAGUCCAGCCGGCUCACUGUACGCUCUGUCUGCCAGCAGCCCCGAGCACUCCCUCUCCUCCCUCUCCCCCCCCCAGCUCCCGCCAUCGAAUCCGCAGAGAGAAACCGGACCUGAGGGGGCCUGAUGAUGAACACCACACGAUGAGCAACUACAGCUCUGACCCAGAGGAGGGAAUAUGAGGAAGAACCAUGGGAAGACAUAGAAGACAUGUAUUAAGUGCCAAACAUGGAGGAGGAGAAGAACAGCCGACACUCAAAUUGAACACGCUACAUGUAUGUUAUUGUGUCACAACAGCCUGGUUUCUGUGAGAAUACAUUCAAGUCUAAUUAAAACACUGACACAGUUGACUUAUAUGCAUUAAGUACAAAGAUAUCCCAUUAGUAAUGAUUUGUAAGGUUGACCUGAGAGAGGACAACUGGAUGAACGGUAAUUAAUUCAUCUUUUAAUUCCCUAAGGAGGCAUUCCUAUUUAAUUGUAAAAGACGGGCUACACAAAUGCGUGUUUUCCAAAUAAAUCCAAACACUACAGAAUGAAGACAAAAAACGAGACACAUUUAAAACCUUGUGUUAGUAGUUUAAAAAUUGAUUCUGUCAGGCAGCAAAUGCCAGCAUCAGACUGUAAAUAUGGUAAUAAUUUAGAUUAAUAAUGUAUGUGUCAUGUUGCUAGAGGUGCUGCAACAUUCUGCUGCUUCACCUGUUUCUCCCAAGAAAGACAUUCUUCUAUCUUGAAUAAGAUAUCUUAGAAACAACAUAGAAUCAAGAAUAUAAAUAAAGCUAGGGAACUUAAACACGACGUCAUUGACUUACUAAAAUAUUUCAAUUUUCAAAAUAAUGGUAUAAUUGCAAAAGCUACUGGAGUUUUACGUGUAAUGUAAAAGCAAAACAAAAGAAAGCACUACACUCUCCAACUUGAUCUCUUUUUGUUGACGCAUAGCUCAUCCUUUCCCUUUAUUGUAUACUUCUAAGAUGUGAAAAUUAGCUAGACAAAGUUAUCAACGGUUAUCUUUGAGAGAUUGAAGAUCAUUCAGGUGAAAGGUUGUUUUCUGCUUGUAUCAGUAUGCUGUAAAAUGUGUUGAUGAAAUGGUACUUCGGUCUUCCAUCAUGUAUUUGGCACUUUUAAGACACACAUAAUAUUGUGUAUUAUUGUAAACUUUAUUGUAAUUGUUGAACUGUCUGAUUUGAAUCUUGCUUUAGGACUUCUCAUGUGUUUUUUUUUAAGAAAACAAUUAUGUUAUUCCUAUGGUGUUACAUUUCUUUUGUUUGCAUUCUCCCGAUUAGCCAAGUGGAAAUACUCAGUCACAGUAGUAAAGGUAUUUUCAUAUUGAGUAUAAAUACAGUACAUGGAAGUGUGUGUGUGUUUUUUAAGAGACCAUAUGGUCAUAGAUCCUAAAAUGUUCUCACAAAUAAAUCCAAGUGCAUAAAUCAUAUUAUGAUAGACUGUAUGAAACAGGAAGGUUGAUUAUUGUAAUCAUAGUCUUGCUUGCAGGAACACAGAGAGGUAGAUCACAUGAUCGUAGGACUCUCUGAAUCCAGAACAUCGAUCUUUCUCUUUGCACGCAUGAUUCGAGCGAAGGUCAAUCGUACCGUCAGGCAGAAAUUGAAACACUCCAUAUUGUGUGUGUGGUUCUGAGGACGGCUGCAUUUCCAAGAGUUUUCAUGGCAAUAGCUUAGUAAAUGGACCUUCUGAUUAGAAUGUUUAUAACAGUUCAUGACACAGACUUUUUUGACAGUUGUGUCUAAGAAAGACUGAAAUAUAUGGUUGCAUUUUCGCAUAAAGUAAUCCCUAAAUGUUUGAUCAUUUUCUGAUAUGCUCUAUAUACUAAAAGCAUGUAGUCGUCUUUAGAUUAAGAACGUGUACAUGAGAAUCAAAUCCAAAUGCAGCUGUAUUUAUAAAUUAAAUAAUUCAGUAGCCUGAUAUAACUGUCACCAUCUUUUGAUGUGUUU
ensembl:lncRNA